rnacentral:piRNA from 1 species
CAGGAUUUGAAGAAAAAUACUUUCCA